rnacentral:rRNA from 1 species
GAUGAACACUAGCGGCAGGCUUAACACAUCCUUUUCGAAGGGCAUCGCGGGGAGUGCUUGCACUCCCUGGCGGCGACUGGCGCACGGGUGAGUAACACGUAUGCUACCUGCCCUCCACAGGGGGACAACCUUCCGAAAGGGAGGCUAAUCCCGCGUAAAUCUCGAUGGGGCAUCCCAUUGAGAGGAAGGCUUCGGCGGUGGAGGAUGGGCAUGCGGCGCAUUAGCUAGUCGGCGGGGUAACGGCCCACCGAGGCGACAAUGCGUAGGGGUUCUGAGAGGAAGGUCCCCCACACUGGUACUGAGACACGGACCAGACUCCUACGGGAGGCAGCAGUGAGGAAUAUUGGUCAAUGGGCGGGAGCCUGAACCAGCCAAGCCGCGUGAGGGAAUAAGGCCCUAUGGGUCGUAAACCUCUUUUGUCGGGGAACAAAAGCGGGGACGCGUCCCCGUCUAAAAAUACCCGAAGAAAAAGCAUCGGCUAACUCCAUGCCAGCAGCCGCGGUAAUACGGAGGAUGCGAGCGUUAUCCGGAUUUAUUGGGUUUAAAGGGUGCGUAGGCGGUAUGGUAAGUCAGCGGUAAAAGCCCGGGGCUCAACCCCGGCGAGCCGUUGAAACUGCCGUGCUAGAGAGGAAGAGAAGUAGGCGGAAUGCGCAGUGUAGCGGUGAAAUGCUUAGUUUUUGAGGAGAACUCCGAUUGCGAAGGCAGCCUACCGGCUUCUGUCUGACGCUGAGGCACGAAAGCGUGGGUAUCCUUCAAGGGUAGAUACCCUGGUAGUCCACGCAGUAA